rnacentral:lncRNA from 1 species
GUGAUAGGCCACUUCAUUGUGACAGACCGUGAAGACUGUCAAUGACAAACAAGCACCUCCACUCCGAAUCAAAUCAAAGACAUAUACUAUGCCUUUCCAGACAUUAUUUAUACUAGAUCAAUAGCCAAAGCUAUUGUGUGAACAUAUACUAUAUAGGCCUAGGCUAGGCAACGAUUUGUAACAAACAGGAGAGUGGCAUCGUAGCCUUGAGGAAGGAGAUCGCUUGUGGACGUUGGGUGAUUUUUGUGCCAAGCGCAGCCUCCGCCAGCCACACCCUCACGUGCGUGCAACUGUGCGGGACUCUUUUUCUCACCAGAGCAGUCUGUACGCUUGGCCAUGCGUGCUUGUCUGUCGCGAGCACCCGCAGCAUCAGCAACACAAAGAGGGUCGAUGAGCUGUUAGAUUGGAGAUACAAGGCGCCGCCGGCUACUUCAAGGCCGAUUUGCGGGGGAAACGAGAUCACUUAUAAGAGAGGCGACGGCAGGGCAAAUUCCAGCCGUUCCGACGCCUGUUUGGGAGGAGGAAGAAGAGAGAGGCAGCGGAGAGGGGCUUUGAUGCAGUAGAGCUGAAGGCUAGCUUUUCCACAGGGGAAGUGUGCAACGGAGUCGUCUCAGAUGAUGAGGAGACCAAUCAGCAUCUGAGGUAAACAGGACAUUUAUGCAUUCUGUUUGAUGCUGUGAAAUACUCCAGCAGUCAAGAUUGCAUUUAUACAUUGCUCAUAAUGUUGUCAUAAAGAGUUCAGUUGUACCGCCAUUGCAGUUCCCCCCCUAUUGCUUGUACAGGCCUCCACCUCAAAAUGAAACAAACUCUAAACACAGGUCUUAUCAAUAAUUUAGUCUGCAUGGCCUUGAGCACAUUAUGUCUUUAAUCCCUUUCAGUAAGACACACUUACCCAGACCACAGAGAAAGCCUAUGAUACUAUUCCCACGAAGACCCAACUUAUAUCCCACAUAUACACAGUGCCCUCAGAAAGUAUUUACACCCCUAGACUUUUUCAACAUUUUGUUGUUUUACAGCCUGUAAAAUGAAUUUCAAUUGAGAUUUUGUGUCACUGGCCUACACACAAUAACCCAUAAUGUCAAAGUGGAAAUAUGUUUUCAGAAAUGUUUACUAAUUCAUUCAUUUAAAAUGAAAAACUGAAAAUGUUUUGAGUCGAGUAUUCACCCCUUUUGUUAUAUGGCAAGCCUAAAUAAGUUCAGGGGUAAAAAUGUUCUUAACAACUCACGUAAUAAGUUGCAUGGACUCAAUAAUAGUGUGCAAUAAUA